ensembl:lncRNA
ACUGUAUUGGCCUUGCAGAAAAGAGUAGGCGUAGGGAGAAAUCAUGAUGUUCAGUCCCCAUUCAGGACCCAUCUCCCUAGCUGCUCCUGGCCCAGUGUUCAGGCAGAUAAUGGCACAGCUGGCAGUGAGCCCAUGCUUUUCUCUGCUGGUGUACGAUGCUGGGAGGAAGGGUUCAUUCAGCAAGCCCCCAGGGCUCUCCUCUGGAUGGCACCAUCCCAGUUCUUCCAGAAGAGAGAGAGAAAGGGUGCUUUUGGUGCCAUUUCUAUAGCUGCUGCUAUUUGGCACCACAGGAUAUGCCCUUAUUUCCUCCCAUUCACUAUCCUGACUCACUUAGCAGGGCUGAUGAUUGUCUCUCAAAGAUUUUUACCUGUGAUGGGAAACGAACAACUAAGGAGGGCAGAAGAGAAGGAGGAGUUGAGGAAGAUGAAGAGGAUGGGAGAGAAGAGCCUUACAAAAGUCUUCACAGAACCAUCUCUGAUCAAAAGCACAGAAAAGGCUCAUUAGAUGAAGGUGAAAACAAAGAUAAAAUGAAUAGCUCAGAAGUAAGAGGUGAUGCAUGAAAAAUGCAUGAAAUGGAGACAGACUGAUGAGCUUGAGCCCUCUGUAGCACACGCUCUGCUACCCGUGACCAGUUGUUCUAUUUUGGUCUCCAUUUGAGGAAAGGAUGGGAAACGCUGAGCUUUGCUCUCUGUGACAGCGACAGGGCCUGAGGGAACAGCAUGGAGCUGUGCCAGGGGAAGGUCAGGUUGGAGGUUAGGAUGAGGUUCUUCACCAGAGGGUGGUGGGCAUGGAACAGGCUGCCUAGGGCAGUGGCACGGCCCCGAGCUGCUGGAGUUCAAGGAGCGUCUGGUCUGGUCAAUGUACUCAGACAUAAGGUCCGACUUCUGAGUGGUUCUGUAUGGAGCCAAGAGUCGGACUUGAUGGUCCUUAUGAAGAGACCUUCUUCAGUUGCCUUCUCUGAUGCUGCAUGUUGGUCCUGGCUGUACAUCUGUGUGAAUCUGGGCACAUUUUAUUUGGCUCUGAGCUUCACUGCUUCCUUCCAGAAGAACAGCCACUGCCUGCUGAUGGUCAGUAUGGAUGCGGUGUCCUCGGCAUGGGGUUGACUGUUGCUGUGCCCUCCUCUACCUAGCAGACCAGUCUUACGCUAGAGCUUGUUUCUGGCUGCUGAUGGGGACUGCCUGCGUGAUCUGCUCACCAGCUCUGAAAAAAGCUUUGGAACAAGUCCUUGGGUCUGUCCCAGGCAUAAGGAUAUUUCAGUCUGAGAAAGUUACUGCUUUUGUUGACUUCUGCUGUCCCUGAGGGCUUUGCAACCCUGGAUCCUUGCCUGAGAGGUCCCAUGAGGAACUCUUGGAGGGAACAGCAACUCUUUGGAAGAAUUCAUAUCACUGAGCUUGGUCCUGCAAGGCAGGCCCUGCCACUGCUGACCGGGUCCAUUCUGAGCAACGAUGUAUUAGCAAAGCAGCGCCCACAUGGAUCCGCUGGGAUUUCUGCUCCAUUCCUACCCAUCCAGCUUUAUUUGCCUCCCUUAAUCCAGGGAAAACACUAACAUGAAACAACCUUCACUUCUUAUCUGAGAGCCAUAUUCCUUGAAAGCUUCC